rnacentral:lncRNA from 1 species
CCCAAACAUGGUCUCCCGACGUUCGAAGGGGAGCAUGGGCGGAUUGGAGCACCACAUCAACUCCAGCGUUCAGCCGAGGAACAAAAAACUUAACGUGAAGGAGAAGCCUAAGGACGUCGUUGUUGCGAAGACCGAAAAUUCAAUCAAAAAGGAGAUCAAGAAAGUCAAGCGCAAGAUUGAGGUGAAAUCCCCAAUCGAGAAUGGCGUGAAGAGAGAGAAACUCGAAAAAACUACGAUCUCGAACGAGAUUCGGAAACGGAAUAGCGUCAAGGAGACGGUUAUCACAGAAAACUGCAGGGAGCCGGCUCUCAAGAAGCGUUCCAGUGAAGUGGUUUCGCCCGCGCCCGAUUCUCCGAAACGACGCAAAACCUCCGACGAUUUCCCCGUCCUACCGGUGUGCGCCAUUUGCGCUCAGCCAGACUCUCGGAGAAGUCCAAGACCUGCCGAGCUGAUCUAUUGUGCGGAAUGUGAGACGCGAUGCGCCCAUCCCUUCUGUUUGGGAGCCGCGCUGACCGAAGUAGACAAUUUCCAGUGGCGCUGUCCUCAGUGCCGACUGUGUGUCGUAUGCAAUCAACCAGAAGGUCCCCAUAUAUUCUAUGCUUGCGUAUCGUGUGCCAAUGGAAUCCACAAGCAAUGUAUGCCAGGGCAAAUAUCACCAAUCAAAGGGAUGCGAUGCGGUCGUUGUAUCAAAGGGAGUGAGAGUCCGGUGAAGACUCCGAAUUUAAUUAAGAGAGGCUAUAAGAAAAACUUGGAUACAAAAGACCUGUCCCCUAAAAAGAUUGAAGAAUCGCCAAAGGUAGAAAUACUCGCCGUCAGAGAAUCUCCGAAAACAGUUGUCGAAAGCCCAGUGAAACGUGCCCAGAAGCAGAAAGAGCGCUUGAAGAACCUCCAAAAGUGUCGGAAAGAGCGCAGUGAGACGGUCGUGCCAGAGAUCGACAUGGAAAUGUUCGAAGCAGCACAGACGAAGGUGAAGAGCAAGUCUACGGAAGCAUCGAAGAUCCAAUUCAUUCAGCUGGGCAAAUAUCAAAUUCGGACCUGGUACGGGGCACCUUAUCCUCAGGAGUACCAACAGUUGGAAACCCUUUUCCUCUGUGAGUUUUGCCUGAAGUACAUGUCGUCGGACGUCGUUCUCCGGAGACAUCUCUCCAAAUGCCCAUGGAGACAUCCACCCGGUGACGAAAUCUACCGUCACGGGAAACUUUCUUUCUUCGAGGUCGACGGCGAGAAGCAAAAAACCUAUUGCCAGAACCUCUGUCUUCUGGCCAAAUUGUUCCUGGAUCACAAAACAUUGUAUUUCGACGUGGAACCUUUUCUGUUCUACUGUCUUACAAUGUACGAUAACACCGGCUGCCAUCUCGUCGGAUAUUUCUCCAAAGAAAAAAAUUCUUUCUUGAAUUAUAACGUCAGCUGUAUCCUGACAAUACCGGCGUUCCAACGACAAGGCUACGGCCGGCUGCUCAUCGACUUCAGUUAUCUACUCACGAAAACCGAAGGGAAGGUGGGCUCUCCGGAAAAGCCGCUCAGCGAUCUCGGACUCAUCAGCUAUAGGGCCUAUUGGAAAUCCGUCAUCAAGCACUUUCUUGAUAACUACCAAGGCACCGCGAUAUCGAUCAGGGAAAUCUCGCAAGCGACUGCCAUUCAACCCUACGAUAUCGUUAGCACGCUCCAAGUUCUCGGCGUGAUCAAGUAUUGGAAGGGCCAGCACGUCAUAAUGAAAACGAUACAGAAAGUCACGACGCCAACAGCGACGAGCGGUCGGAAGAACUCCAAGAAGAAAGAGAAGCCAAUCGAAAUCAUCGACAACCCUCUGAAACUAGAUCCGAGCUGUUUGCAAUGGGUUCCGCCCAAGAAGAAAGACGGCAUCGAGACAAACGUGAAAUGACUUCCCGGCGAGAGUCUAGAAAUUGUCCUAACUUUCCUGGGAACAGUCCUGUCCCAACCCAAAACUCGCUGAGCAUGUUCAUAUCCUGCAAAUUGUUCUUUGCUGUGCCUGGAUGAUCCUUUGUACAGUAUGUGGUGAGCAGUUCUCCUGGGUGUAGCGGUCUGAUCCGAGCCCGAGCUUUGUGGGAUUGACGGACGACGGAUCGAUUCCUGCGCGUCGUAUAGCGUGCGUAGUUCAUUCAUUUGACCGCUCUGCGGAUUUCCAGCAAUCGUGCGUGACUGAAACAGGCCGGAGGAGCAUGGAGUGAGUUUGAAUGGGCGACAACGCGUGGCCAUGUUGAGUAGAUAGAUGAUGCGUUUGGUGGCGGAUAUAUGGGACCGAAUAACUGAUUUAU